rnacentral:rRNA from 1 species
CGUGGUGAUUUGAGCGAGGUGGUACCACUCCAUCCCAUUCCGAACUGGAUAGUGAAACGCCUUAGCGCUGACGAUAGUUGUUGGGUAACCUUCCGCGAAAAUAGGUCAUCGCCACAU